rnacentral:rRNA from 1 species
UACGGAGGGUGCAAGCGUUAAUCGGAAUUACUGGGCGUAAAGCGCACGCAGGUGGCUGAGUCAGUCGAUUGUGAAAGCCCUGGGCUUAACCUGGGAAUUGCAGUCGAUACUACUCAGCUAGAGUAUGGGAGAGGGUAGUGGAAUUCCCGGUGUAGCGGUGAAAUGCGUAGGUAUCGGGAGGAACAUCAGUGGCGAAGGCGGCUACCUGGGCCAAUACUGACACUCAGGUGCGACAGCGUGGGGAGCAAACAGG